ACGUCUACAUUAGAUACCCCCUGUAGUCCCAGCCGUAAACUAUGCGCGUUAGGUGUAUCGGUGACCACGAGUCACCGAGGUGCCGAAGGGAAACCGUGAAACGUGCCGCCUGGGAAGUACGGUCGCAAGGCUGAAACUUAAAGGAAUUGGCGGGGAGCACCACAACGGGUGGAGCCUGCGGUUUAAUUGGACUCAACGCCGGGAAGCUCACCGGAUAAGACAGCGGAAUGAUUGCCGGGCUGAAGACUCUGCAUGACUAGCUG
rnacentral:rRNA from 1 species